GACGAACGCUGGCGGCGUGCUUAACACAUGCAAGUCGAACGGAAAGGCCCUGCUUGCAGGGUACUCGAGUGGCGAACGGGUGAGUAACACGUGGGUGAUCUGCCCUGCACUUCGGGAUAAGCCUGGGAAACUGGGUCUAAUACCGGAUAGGAGCCAUUUUUAGUGUGAUGGUUGGAAAGUUUUUUCGGUGUAGGAUGAGCUCGCGGCCUAUCAGCUUGUUGGUGGGGUAAUGGCCUACCAAGGCGGCGACGGGUAGCCGGCCUGAGAGGGUGGACGGCCACAUUGGGACUGAGAUACGGCCCAGACUCCUACGGGAGGCAGCAAUGGGGAAUAUUGCACAAUGGGCGCAAGCCUGAUGCAGCGACGCCGCGUGGGGGAUGACGGCCUUCGGGUUGUAAACUCCUUUCGCUAGGGACGAAGCUUUUUGUGACGGUACCUAGAUAAGAAGCACCGGCUAACUACGUGC
rnacentral:rRNA from 1 species